UUUCCGUAGGUGAACCUGCGGAAGGAUCAUUCAUAAUAAAGUGUUUUAUGGCACUUUUUAAAAAUCCAUAUCCACCUUGUGUGCAAUGUUAGAUCUCGUCAAUCUUGGCGAGAUUUUUAUACAUCAACUCAUUCUUUAACUAAUUUGUCUGAAAAAUAUUAUGUAUACUUAAUUCAAAAUACAACUUUCAACAACGGAUCUCUUGGCUCUC
rnacentral:misc_RNA from 1 species